rnacentral:rRNA from 1 species
UCGGGAAUUUUGCCCAAUGGACGAAAGUCUGAGGCAGCAACUCCGCGUGAGGGAUGAAGGCCUUCGGGUCGUAAACCUCUUUUCUCAGGGAAGAUUCAAGACGGUACCUGAGGAAUAAGCCACGGCUAACUACGUGCCAGCAGCCGCGGUAAUACGUAGGUGGCAAGCGUUGUCCGGAUUUACUGGGCGUAAAGAGCGCGCAGGCGGCUGGGCAAGUCCGAUGUGAAAGCUUCCGGCUUAACUGGAAAAUUGCAUCGGAAACUGCUCGGCUUGAAGGUGGGGGAGGGUAGCGGAAUUCCCGGUGUAGUGGAGCAAUGCGUAGAUAUCGGGAGGAACACCAGUGGCGAAGGCGGCUACCUGGCCCAUUCUUGACGCUGAGGCGCGAAAGCUAGGGGAGCAAACGGG